ACGAGCUCGCUUGGACAGUACGCUUGCAGCCACGCCAAAGAAGAAGAAGAAGUCUCCCUCCAUUUACAUUGGGCGUCCAUGGAAUGGAACAAAUGAUGGCUAUUUUCUAACAGAUCGUCUUCUGCUCACCUUCCGUCAUGAGUGAGUCACAUCAGCGUCGUGGCCAACGCCAAUUCCUUGGGAUAGCAUAAUCCAAAUUCACAAUACACCGGAGCACCGAGGCAAUUCGGGAAUUUUUCCGGACAAUUCCAAAUACCCAAUGUGGGGAUCCCACAAGGCAACAUCCCAGCACCCAACCGGGCGCCAGCUUAUUAUGGCAAUGUUGCUACGCCGAUGUUAAACGUGGAACCGCCUCCAGUGCCACUUAUACAUGCACCCUCAAUGGCUCCGUAUAUGACACCUUUUAGUGUUGUGGGAGCUCAGACAGCGACGCCUGUUGUCACAGCGGCACUACCAACAUAUGUGCCUCUCCAGCAACCAUGUGUUCCACAAUUUGUUGUAACGCAGCCGGUGGGAUGCCAUGAAAACGACUACAUGGCCGGCCUGCUUACUGGCAUGGCACAUGCCGACUCUGUGCAUCACGGCCAUCAUGACAUUCAUCACGACAGCCAUCAUGGCCACCAUGGUCACCACCACUAGGGUUGACGUUCAAAAAUACGGUUCAUUCGGCAACGAUACCGUUAUUCUGAUGCACUAGACGUGACAGGGCAGGAUAAAACCGGAGAAGUUGGAUACUGCUACUCCAGGCAUAGCUCACGAAAGUUCGAAGGCUCAGUGUCCGGAUGACACUGUUUUUGCUGCCUAAUAUCAAUAAACAGUCAUUAGGGGAAGAACUUCGA